rnacentral:rRNA from 1 species
GAUGAACGCUAGCGGCAGGCCUAAUACAUGCAAGUCGGACGGGAUCCAUUGAUAGCUUGCUAUCAAUGGUGAGAGUGGCGCACGGGUGCGUAACGCGUGAGCAACCUGCCUCCAUCAGGGGGAUAGCCUCUCGAAAGAGAGAUUAACACCGCAUAAUAUCAACAGUUCGCAUGUUCAGUUGAUUAAAUAUUUAUAGGAUGGAGAUGGGCUCGCGUGACAUUAGCUAGUUGGUAGGGUAACGGCUUACCAAGGCGACGAUGUCUAGGGGCUCUGAGAGGAGAAUCCCCCACACUGGUACUGAGACACGGACCAGACUCCUACGGGAGGCAGCAGUAAGGAAUAUUGGUCAAUGGGCGGAAGCCUGAACCAGCCAUGCCGCGUGCAGGAUGACUGCCCUAGGGGUUGUAAACUGCUUUUGGCCAGGAAUAAACCUAAAUACGAGUAUUUAGCUGAAGGUACUGGAAGAAUAAGGAUCGGCUAACUCCGUG